UACGGAGGGGGCUAGCGUUGUUCGGAAUUACUGGGCGUAAAGCGCGCGUAGGCGGACCUGCAAGUCGGGGGUGAAAGCCCGAGGCUCAACCUCGGAACUGCCUUCGAUACUGCGGGUCUCGAGUCCGGGAGAGGUGAGUGGAAUUCCUAGUGUAGAGGUGAAAUUCGUGAGAUAUUAGGAAGAACACCAGUGGCGAAGGCGGCUCACUGGCCCGGUACUGACGCUGAGGCGCGAAAGCGUGGGGAGCAAACAGG
rnacentral:rRNA from 1 species